rnacentral:rRNA from 6 species
AAACUAACAAGGAUUCCCCUAGUAACUGCGAGUGAAGCGGGAAAAGCUCAAAUUUAAAAUCUGGCGGUCUUUGGCCGUCCGAGUUGUAAUCUAGAGAAGUGUUACCCGCGUCGGACCGUGUACAAGUCUCCUGGAAUGGAGCGUCAUAGAGGGUGAGAAUCCCGUCUUUGACACGGACUACCGAGGCUUUGUGGUGCGCUCUCAAAGAGUCGAGUUGUUUGGGAAUGCAGCUCAAAAUGGGUGGUAAAUUCCAUCUAAAGCUAAAUAUUGGCGAGAGACCGAUAGCGAACAAGUACCGUGAGGGAAAGAUGAAAAGAACUUUGGAAAGAGAGUUAAACAGUACGUGAAAUUGCUGAAAGGGAAACGCUUGAAGUCAGUCGCGUCGUCCGGGAAUCAGCCUUCCUUCUGGUUGGUGUACUUCCUGGUUGACGGGCCAGCAUCAGUUUUGACCGGUGGAAAAAGUUCGAGGGAAUGUGGCACCUUCGGGUGUGUUAUAGCCCUCGUUCGUAUACAUCGGUUGGGACUGAGGAACUCAGCACGCCGCAAGGCCGGGAUUCGUCCACGUUCGUGCUUAGGAUGCUGGCAUAAUGGCUUUAAUCGAC